UUGACGGGGGCCCGCACAAGCGGUGGUGCAUGUGGUUUAAUUCGACGCAACGCGAAGAACCUUACCUAGGUUUGACAUGCCGCGAGUAGGAAACCGAAAGGGGACCGACCGGUUCAGUCCGGAAGCGGUACAGGUGCUGCAUGGCUGUCGUCAGCUCGUGCCGUGAGGUGUUGGGUUCAGUCCCGCAACGAGCGCAACCCUCGCCCUUUGUUGCCAUCGGGUAAAGCCGGGCACUCUAAGGGGACUGCCAGCGAUAAGUUGGAGGAAGGAGAGGAUGACGUCAAGUCAUCAUGGCCCUUAUGUCUAGGGCAACACACGUGCAACAAUGGCCGGUACAGACGGAAGCAAAGCCGAGAGGUGGAGCAAACCCGAGAAAGCCGGUCUCAGUUCGGAUUGAGGUC
rnacentral:rRNA from 1 species